UCAUCUUCGGGGGUAGAGCACUGUUUCGGCUAGGGGGUCAUCCCGACUUACCAACCCGAUGCAAACUACGAAUACCGAAGAAUGUUAUCACGGGAGACACACGGCGGGUGCUAACGUCCGUCGUGAAGAGGGAAACAACCCAGACCGCCAGCUAAGGUCCCAAAGUCAUGGUUAAGUGGGAAACGAUGUGGGAAGGCACAGACAGCCAGGAUGUUGGCUUAGAAGCAGCCAUCAUUUAAAGAAAGCGUAAUAGCUCACUGGUCGAGUCGGCCUGCGCGGAAGAUGUAACGGGGCUAAACCAUGCACCGAAGCUGCGGCAGCGACACUAUGUGUUGUUGGGUAGGGGAGCGUUCUGUAAGCCUGCGAAGGUGACCUGUGAGGGUUGCUGGAGGUAUCAGAAGUGCGAAUGCUGACAUAAGUAACGAUAAAGCGGGUGAAAAGCCCGCUCGCCGGAAGACCAAGGGUUCCUGUCCAACGUUAAUCGGGGCAGGGUGAGUCGACCCCUAAGGCGAGGCCGAAAGGCGUAGUCGAUGGGAAACAGGUUAAUAUUCCUGUACUUGGUGUUACUGCGAAGGGGGGACGGAGAAGGCUAUGUUAGCCGGGCGACGGUUGUCCCGGUUUAAGCAUGUAGGCUGGUUGUCCAGGCAAAUCCGGAUAAUCAAGGCUGAGGUGUGAUGACGAGGCACUACGGUGCUGAAGUAACAAAUGCCCUGCUUCCAGGAAAAGCCUCUAAGCAUCAGGUAACAUCAAAUCGUACCCCAAACCGACACAGGUGGUCAGGUAGAGAAUACCAAGGCGCUUGAGAGAACUCGGGUGAAGGAACUAGGCAAAAUGGUGCCGUAACUUCGGGAGAAGGCACGCUGGUGUGUAGGUGAAGUCCCUGCGGAUGGAGCUGAGACCAGUCGAAGAUACCAGCUGGCUGCAACUGUUUAUUAAAAACACAGCACUGUGCAAACACGAAAGUGGACGUAUACGGUGUGACGCCUGCCCGGUGCCGGAAGGUUAAUUGAUGGGGUUAUCCGUAAGGAGAAGCUCUUGAUCGAAGCCCCGGUAAACGGCGGCCGUAACUAUAACGGUCCUAAGGUAGCGAAAUUCCUUGUCGGGUAAGUUCCGACCUGCACGAAUGGCGUAAUGAUGGCCAGGCUGUCUCCACCCGAGACUCAGUGAAAUUGAACUCGCUGUGAAGAUGCAGUGUACCCGCGGCAAGACGGAAAGACCCCGUGAACCUUUACUAUAGCUUGACACUGAACAUUGAGCCUUGAUGUGUAGGAUAGGUGGGAGGCUUUGAAGCGUGGACGCCAGUCUGCGUGGAGCCAACCUUGAAAUACCACCCUUUAAUGUUUGAUGUUCUAACGUUGGCCCCUGACCGGGGUUGCGGACAGUGUCUGGUGGGUAGUUUGACUGGGGCGGUCUCCUCCCAAAGCGUAACGGAGGAGCACGAAGGUUAGCUAAUCCUGGUCGGACAUCAGGAGGUUAGUGCAAUGGCAUAAGCUAGCUUGACUGCGAGCGUGACGGCGCGAGCAGGUGCGAAAGCAGGUCAUAGUGAUCCGGUGGUUCUGAAUGGAAGGGCCAUCGCUCAACGGAUAAAAGGUACUCCGGGGAUAACAGGCUGAUACCGCCCAAGAGUUCAUAUCGACGGCGGUGUUUGGCACCUCGAUGUCGGCUCAUCACAUCCUGGGGCUGAAGUAGGUCCCAAGGGUAUGGCUGUUCGCCAUUUAAAGUGGUACGCGAGCUGGGUUUAGAACGUCGUGAGACAGUUCGGUCCCUAUCUGCCGUGGGCGCUGGAGAAUUGAGGGGGGCUGCUCCUAGUACGAGAGGACCGGAGUGGACGCAUCACUGGUGUUCGGGUUGUCAUGCCAAUGGCACUGCCCGGUAGCUAAAUGCGGAAGAGAUAAGUGCUGAAAGCAUCUAAGCACGAAACUUGCCCCGAGAUGAGUUCUCCCUGAGACUUUAAGUCUCCUGAAGGAACGUUAAAGACGAUGACGUUGAUAGGCCGGGUGUGUAAGCGCAGCGAUGCGUUGAGCUAACCGGUACUAAUGAACCGUGAGGCUUAACCUU
rnacentral:rRNA from 1 species